UACGUAGGGGGCGAGCGUUGUCCGGAGUUACUGGGCGUAAAGCGCACGCAGGCGGUCUGUUAAGUUUGGAGUGACAGUUGGUGGCUUAACUGCCAAAGUGCUUCGAAAGCUGACAGACUUGAGGGCUUCAGAGGGACACGGAAUUCCGGGUGGAGUGGUGAAAUGCGUAGAGAUCCGGAGGAACACCAAAGGCGAAGGCAGUGUCCUGGGGAGUACCUGACGCUCAGGUGCGAAAGCCAGGGGAGCGAACGGG
rnacentral:rRNA from 1 species